CCUACGGGCGGCAGCAGUGGGGAAUAUUGGACAAUGGGGGGAACCCUGAUCCAGCGACGCCGCGUGAGUGAAGAAGUAUUUCGGUAUGUAAAGCUCUAUCAGCAGGGAAGAAAGAAAUGACGGUACCUGACUAAGAAGCCCCGGCUAACUACGUGCCAGCAGCCGCGGUAAUACGUAGGGGGCAAGCGUUAUCCGGAUUUACUGGGUGUAAAGGGAGCGUAGACGGCGAUGCAAGUCUGAAGUGAAAGGCGGGGGCCCAACCCCCGGACUGCUUUGGAAACUGUAUGGCUGGAGUGAAGGAGAGGUAAGUGGAAUUCCUAGUGUAGCGGUGAAAUGCGUAGAUAUUAGGAGGAACACCAGUGGCGAAGGCGGCUUACUGGACUGUAACUGACGUUGAGGCUCGAAAGCGUGGGGAGCAAACAGGAUUAGAUACCCGGGUAGUC
rnacentral:rRNA from 1 species